UACGGGGGGGGCAAGCGUUGUUCGGAAUUACUGGGCGUAAAGCGUGCGCAGGCGGUUUUGUAAGCCAGAUGUGAAAUCCCCGGGCUCAACCUGGGAACUGCCUUUGUGACUGCAAGGCUUGAGUGCGGCAGAGGGGGAUGGAAUUCCGCGUGUAGCAGUGAAAUGCGUAGAUAUGCGGAGGAACACCGAUGGCGAAGGCAAUCCCCUGGGCCUGCACUGACGCUCAUGCACGAAAGCGUGGGGAGCAAACAGG
rnacentral:rRNA from 1 species